rnacentral:lncRNA from 1 species
CUCCAAUUGACUCAAAUGAUGUCAAUUAGCCUGUCGGAAUCAAAUCAAAUCAAAGUUUAUUUGUCACGUGCGCCAAAUACAACAGGUACAGUUGUAUUCGCACCUUACAGUGAAAUGCUUACUUACAGGCUCUAACCAACAGUGCAAAAAAGGUAUUAGGUGAACAAUUGGUGCCGAGGCGGUCACUAAAGCCAAGGAGCAUGCUGGGAGAUUACAGUGUAUGUAAUCCAGAGAAUGAGGGUGCAUUCAUGUAGCGAGUUGGCUUGGCACACUUGUCGAAGUGUGAACAGUCCUAGCCCUUUCCUGCAGUCAAAUGACCUAGAGGCCUCAUGGGUGGAAUGUUAUUUAUAUUUUUCAUAAUUUCAUAAUGAAUAAACAUUUAUUCUUUCCGCUGACAAUCUGGUGUUUCUAUGUCAAACAAUUUCAGUCUUCUGUGAUGUAUAUAAAGUGAAAUAUUGGCAUGCAAACUCAAAAUUGAAUACAUUUCAACUAUCUGACAUGGUACAGGUAUCUUAUUUUAAUUAAGCCUGUAACCAUGUGUGGAAGGUGUAUACUUUUGUUUCAAAGUAGAUCUAUUUAAGACUACCAAUAAACACUCUGUGUGACCCUGAUUUCGCCCACUAAGUUAAUAUCCUAGUUCUUUUCCAAGGCACAACCUCCUUAUGGUAAACAUAUUCAAUCAUAAAUAUUAAAAUAUGUAUUGCAUUCAUACUCAUUAAAUGACACAUUUUCAACAAAUUUAGUUGGAUUUAAUUUUGCUUACAUCAACAUCGUGUAAUUAUUCAUUUGAAAGAUUGGAAGGAAAAUAUUAUUUAUAACAUAGGGGCUGUCACGUCCUGACCAGUAUUAGGGAUUAUUUGUAAUUGUAGUUUGGUCAGGACGUGGCAGAGGGUAUUUUGUUUAUGUGUUUCGGGGUGGUGGUUUAUUUAGUAGGGUGUUUGGUUAGUUAGUUCCGGGUUAUGUUCUGUGUUUGUAUAUCUAUGUCUAGUUAAUUGGGGUUGGACUCUCAAUUGGAGGCAGGUGUUUUCUAGUUGCCUCUGAUUGACAGUCCUAUAUAUGGGUAUGUGUUUGGUUUUGUGUUUUUGGGAGAUUGUUUCUUGUUUUGCUGUGUGUGCCUGACAAGACUGUCUAGUUCGUCUGUGUUUUUGUAUACGUGUUUAUUUUGGUUUUUUCCUUCUUUGUCUGUAAUAAAG